UACGGAGGGUGCAAGCGUUAUCCGGAUUUACUGGGUUUAAAGGGUGUGUAGGCGGGUCUUUAAGUCAGUGGUGAAAUCUCCGAGCUUAACUUGGAAACUGCCAUUGAUACUGUUGAUCUUGAAUUCUGUUGAGGUAGGCGGAAUAAGUCAUGUAGCGGUGAAAUGCAUAGAUAUGACUUAGAACACCAAUUGCGAAGGCAGCUUGCUAAACAGAUAUUGACGCUGAGGCACGAAAGCGUGGGGAUCAAACAGG
rnacentral:rRNA from 1 species